GGGUGAGUAACACGUGGGUAACCUGCCUCAAAGAGGGGAAUAGCCUCCCGAAAGGGAGAUUAAUACCGCAUAAUAUUAAAGUUUCACAUGGAGCUUUAAUUAAAGGAGUAAUCCGCUUUGAGAUGGACCCGCGGCGCAUUAGCUAGUUGGAGAGGUAACGGCUCACCAAGGCGACGAUGCGUAGCCGACCUGAGAGGGUGAUCGGCCACAUUGGAACUGAGACACGGUCCAGACUCCUACGGGAGGCAGCAGUGGGGAAUAUUGCACAAUGGGCGAAAGCCUGAUGCAGCAACGCCGCGUGAGUGAUGACGGUCUUCGGA
rnacentral:rRNA from 1 species